rnacentral:ribozyme from 1 species
UGUAGCAAACCGCACUGAUACGGGUAUGGAUCCGAAGCUUCUCGAAGUAUAACGUAGGCACUCCAUACCCUAUACCAUACCCAUACCCGACUCAAUAUGUCCACGGCGUACAGAACGGUAAUAUAUCUCUAAAAAUAUCUGAGCUUUGGUAUACGGGGAAAGCCAACCCCUUGGGAACAUAUGGCUUGGGUUAUAUGGCUAAAUUGAGCGGA